UCAGAGAAUUUUCUGGUUCAUUUGCGGUGACAGAAGAGAGAAAGCACAGCCCAAGCAGGACCUCAGUGCUCUGCCCUGAGCUGGCAACUCUGCUGCCUCAGAAAAAUGAGU
rnacentral:miRNA from 14 species